rnacentral:rRNA from 1 species
GGAUGGGCAUGCGGCGCAUUAGGCAGUAGGCGGGGUAACGGCCCACCUAGCCGACGAUGUCUAGGGGUUCUGAGAGGAAGGUCCCCCACACUGGUACUGAGACACGGACCAGACUCCUACGGGAGGCAGCAGUGAGGAAUAUUGGUCAAUGGGCUUACGCCUGAACCAGCCAAGUCGCGUGAGGGAAGACUGCCCUAUGGGUUGUAAACCUCUUUUGUCAGGGAGCAACGCCGGCUACGUGUAGCCGGACUGAGAGUACCUGAAGAAAAAGCAUCGGCUAACUCCGUGCCAGCAGCCGCGGUAAUACGGAGGAUGCGAGCGCUAUCCGGAUUUAUUGGGUUUAAAGGGUGCGUAGGCGGAAUGCCAAGUCAGCGGUAAAAUCGCGGGGCUCAACCUCGCUCCGCCGUUGAAACUGGCGUUCUUGAGUGGGCGAGAAGUAUGCGGAAUGCGUGGUGUAGCGGUGAAAUGCAUAGAUAUCACGCAGAACUCCGAUUGCGAAGGCAGCAUACCGGCGCCCAACUGACGCUGAAGCACGAAAGCGUGGGUAUCGAACAGGAUUAGAUACCCUGGUAGUCCACGCAGUAAACGAUGAAUACUAGCUGUUCGGGGCAAAUGAGCCUUGAGUGGCACAGCGAAAGCGUUAAGUAUUCCACCUGGGGAGUACGCCGGCAACGGUGAAACUCA